rnacentral:lncRNA from 1 species
UUCUUUCACGAGGAACCGAGCCGAAGCUCUCCUUCUCCCGUGAUUUCUUUCCCAGUGUCCCUCUCCUCCUUCCUUCUUUCUUCUCCCUACUCCUUCCUUCUCCCACCCGAGCCUCUCCUCCCUCUCUUCUCUCCAGCGGUUCUUUCUUUCCUUUCUCUGCCCAGGAACCGAGCUCUCCUCUCUCCCUCGCGAUUCCCUUCCCGCGAGCUCCCUCCCC